GGGGUUGUGGCUCAGUGGUAGAGCACUCAACUAGCAUGUGUGAGGCCCUGGGUUUGAUCCUCAGCAUCACAU
rfam:Ictidomys tridecemlineatus contig035358, whole genome shotgun sequence.